GAUGAAGAACGUAGCGAAAUGCGAUACUUGGUGUGAAUUGCAGAAUCCCGUGAACCAUCGAGUCUUUGAACGCAAGUUGCGCCCGAAGCCGUCAGGCCGAGGGCACGCCUGCCUGGGCGUCACACGCCGUUGCCCCCCCGCGCCCCGCACCCAACUCUUUGGGAGCGACCGCGGGGCGGGCUGAUGAUGGCCUCCCGUGCGCUCCGCCGCGCGGUUGGCCCAAAUACCGAGUCCCCGGCGACGUGCGCCACGACGAUCGGUGGUUGAGAGACCUCUGUCGCAAGUCGUGCGCGCCCGUCGCGUCACGCGGGCUCGCAUAGCGCCUCGCGCCGCACCCGGUGCGGAGCUUUCAACGCGACCCCAGGUCAGGCGGGGUUACCCGCUGAAUUUAAGCAUAUCAAUAAGCGGGGGA
rnacentral:misc_RNA from 1 species